UGGUGAGUAACACGUAAGCAACCUGCCUAUCAGAGGGGAAUAACAGUGAGAAAUCAUUGCUAAUACCGCAUAUGCUAACAGUAUCGCAUGAUACAGUUAGGAAAGGAGCAAUCCGCUGAUAGAUGGGCUUGCGUCUGAUUAGCUAGUUGGUGGGGUAACGGCCUACCAAGGCGACGAUCAGUAGCCGGACUGAGAGGUUGAACGGCCACAUUGGGACUGAGAUACGGCCCAGACUCCUACGGGAGGCAGCAGUCGGGAAUAUUGCGCAAUGGAGGAAACUCUGACGCAGUGACGCCGCGUAUAGGAAGAAGGUUUUCGGAUUGUAAACUAUUGUCGUUAGGGAAGAUACAAGACAGUACCUAAGGAGGAAGCCCCGGCUAACUAUGUGCCAGCAGCCGCGGUAAUACAUAGGGGGCAAGCGUUAUCCGGAAUUAUUGGGUGUAAAGGGUGCGUAGACGGAGAAACAAGUUGGUUGUGAAAUCCCUCGGCUCAACUGAGGAACUGCAACCAAAACUAUUUCCCUUGAGUGUCGGAGAGGAAAGUGGAAUUCCUAGUGUAGCGGUGAAAUGCGUAGAUAUUAGGAGGAACACCAGUGGCGAAGGCGACUUUCUGGACGAUAACUGACGUUGAGGCACGAAAGUGUGGGGAGCAAACAGGAUUAGAUACCCUGGUAGUCCACACUGUAAGCGAU
rnacentral:rRNA from 1 species